UACGUAGGUGGCAAGCGUUGUCCGGAUUUAUUGGGUUUAAAGGGUGCGUAGGCGGUCCUAUAAGUCAGUUGUGAAAUACGGCAGCUUAACUGUCGAGGUGCAAUUGAUACUGCAGGACUUGAGUACAGACGAGGUAGGCGGAAUUGACGGUGUAGCGGUGAAAUGCUUAGAUAUCGUCAAGAACACCGAUAGCGAAGGCAGCUUACUAGACUGUAACUGACGCUGAGGAGCGAAAGCGUGGGGAGCAAACAGG
rnacentral:rRNA from 1 species